rnacentral:sRNA from 1 species
AUGACAGAUAAAGAAAGGAAAAAGGAUGAUAUUGAUCAACCUGCAACGGCAAUAAUAAUUGCAACGAAGAAUAGAAUUACUGAAAUGGUUGAGAAAAUCCUUGAACAACAUCCUAUAGCUAUGUAUGACGAGAAUAGAGACCGGAAGAACGUAGUGCUAUUGACAGUGAAGCAUAAGCAACCUCGUGUAUAUGAACUCCUACUCUUACUCAGGAAGAAAAAUACAUUAAAAUACAGUAUAUUUAAUGUAGUGGAUUGCGACGGGAAUAGUGCAUUGCAUCUUGCAGCAGAAGCAGAUUUUAAUUGGCCAGUUCUAGGAGUUGCAUCACAAAUGCAAUGGGAAAUCAAGUGGUAUGAGGUAUGCAUAACAGCCAGGCUAGAGAGGACUUUUGCUUGAUCAUUGAUUCCAAGGCCAUUUUAUAAAUAAUAUGUUUUAUGGGUUUGACUUGCUAGGUGAUAACUAGGUUUAUAGAAUAACAUGAGGAAGAUAAUACAAAAUAUUUCUUAGUCUGUAGUUUGUACUUUGUUGCAAGCUUGGGCUUAUAGUUUCAGUAUACAACGAUAGAUGUGGUGAAGGAAUAACCACGUCAUUUUUUUUUCCUUGGAAUGCAGCACAUAAAGAACUCAAUGCAAAGAAGCUCAGGCCUUCCUCUUCUCAAUAAGAAUGGCCAAACCCCAGAGGAGGUCUUCACCGAAAAACACAAGGAUCUUGUUAAAAUGGGUGGUGAGUGGCUAACUAGCACAUGCAAUGCAUGCUCAGUCGUAGCAGGUCUCUUUGUCACGAUCACCUUUACUACAUCAACCACAGUGCCUGAUGGUGUCAAAGAAGUAAACAAAAACAACAAGGCAUCCAAAGUUUUGGCCGUCUCAUCCUUCGUCUCUUUCUGCACUUCACUCAUUGCUGUGGUCAUGUUCCUUUCAUUUCUCACAUCAGGUUACAGAAAAAAAGAUUUCCACCACACUUUACUAUCAAAGCUUUUGGUCGGCCUAACAGCGUUCUGCGUGCUAUAGUUACAACCUUGAUAUCUUUUUCCAGCGGACAUUUUUUCAUCUUCAGGGACCAACGGAAUAAUGCAGCUUCCUUGUAUAUGGUGACCUGCUUGUUGCUUAUAACAUUCUUUGUUAUUACGCAGUUUCCGAUGUACCUUCAUUUGCUGUGGGCUAACUUGAAGAAGGUGCCACAACGUAUAUACUGGCUUCAUUUGGAAGAUUAAACUAGUAUUUAUAAUUGAGAAAUAUCUAUUACAUGCAUGCUGGCACACAAAAAGGAACACGCAUGCACAUACACACGAGAUUUAAACUAAAAAAUUGUGAUUUUCCAGUCACAAUUUCCAAUAUUCUUAUCUUUCUUCCAGAGUUUGAUGUUAAGGUUAUUGAUUGAUUGAUAAACUCAUUUAUACUUUUUCCAAAAAGAUUGAUGCUGGACUUAUUUGUUUGUGUGUUCUAUUUCGGAUUUUUUGAGAAAAUAAUUAUAAAAUUCAUACAAUAUUAUUAGUUAGACAACAUUUCAAACUAAUAUAGUUUCUAAACAAAUCAAGUCUAGAGGACUCGAUUUUGCUCACUGGAAAUCGAGUCCAGAGGACUCGAGUUUCAAACUCGAGUGUGAGACACUUGACUUCCAGUGCAAUUUCGCACAGCAAAAUCGAGUCCAAAGGACUCGAUUUGUUAGAAAUCAAAUUAGUUUGAAACGUUACCUAACUAAUAAUAUAGUAUGAGUUUUAUAGUUAUUUUCUCAAAAAAUCAUUCUAUUUCGAUAAAAUAAAACAAAUAUCUAAGGGAAUUAAAUGUUAUAUACCUUCUUAAUUAAGUUGUUGGACUACAAUUUUUCGUUGGGAGUUCAAUUUGUGUAAAUGCUUUAUUUUUUAUUAUCACUUUUCGCAGACCUAUGUGAUGUGUGGAAAUAAAUAAUUAUUUUGUAUGAUAAUAUAAUGUAUACUUUUUUGAGAAAUUUUUUUGAAGAUAAUUUGCUCUUCCUAUAAAUUAAACAAUUUCUAUUUGGUCCAAUUUGGUCUAUUCUUAUUUUUGAGUUACAAAAUAUAAAGAAAAAUACUAAAAUAGACAUUAGAAAUUAGACAUAUAAGCCCUAAAAAUGAUAAAUAUUUAGAAGUCUAAUUCGGUCCACAUUAGUUUUAUUCUGUCCAUCCUGUCCUUUUUGAUCGAAUUUGUUUCUAUUCUAUCCAAUUCUACCCAUUCGAUCUUAUUCUAUCCACUUUGGCCUAAUUCGGUCCAUUUAGUACACAUUGGCCCUAUUCGGUCCAUAUUGGUCCUAUUAUGUUCACUUUGGUCUAAUUUGGUCCAUUUAGUCCACAUUGAUCGUAUUUAGUCCACACUGGUUCUAUUCAGUCGACUUCGGUCCUACUCAGUCCAUUUUAUCCACUUUGGUCCUAUUCGGUCCAUUCUGUCCACUUUGAUCCACUUGAGUCCUAUUUGGGCCAUUUAGUCUAAUUUGGUCCUAUUUAGUCCAUUUUGUCAACUUUAGUUCUACUCGGUCCAUUUUGUCCACUUUAGUCCUAUUCAUUACACAAUGCUCUUAUUCAGUCCACUUCGGUCCUAUUCCGACCACUUCAGUCUUAUUCCGUCCACUUUGGACCUAUUGGGUCCAUUCUGUCCAUUUUAGUCUUAUUCGGUCCACCCUGUUCCUAUUCAGUCCAUUCGGUCAUAUUCUCUCCAUUUGGUUCACUUUGUUUCAUUUGGUCCAAUUUGGUCCAUUUAGAUCACUUUGGUUCAUUUUGGUCCACUUCGUUUUAUUUUUGUACAUUUAGAUAAUGAGAAAAGGACGUUUUUGGGUUGAAAGCACCAAAUCUAUAUCCAAAUUUAUUUAUUUAUUUAUUUUUUAAAUCUCAAAAUUUUAAUAUCUAAAAUCUUAUGCAUAGCAUUUAUUGUUGCUACGGUUUUGUUGAGACAUAUUAAUGUAGCUAUUUCAAUCCAUUUCGAUACGACUAAAUUUAAUUGAAAGUUGUUCUAUACAUAAAGGUUAUGAAUAUAAAAAUGAAAUCUUUAGGAGAGUUAUUCAUUUUUUUUAAUGUCGUUAUUUUUAAAUGAAUUGCAUGAGAUUGAUUAUACAUUUAAGCAAAAUAAAUAAAUAUAUACAUAUGUAUGUGUAGGGUUGGGAUUUGUGGCCCAAGUCCAAAACAAUAAAUUUGUAGAGUAUGGGUGAAAGAGGUAGGUUAAGUAUUGGAUCAACAACAACGAAUCAUAACUUUUAAACACAAGCCAACAUGAAUUUGCACGUAAAACAUGAAUAUUCGAAGAGCUAUAUUAUUGUUUAUCUGAUGAACAAAGGUCUUAGGGUUACAGUCAAGUUCUCUCUUUCUCUCUAUCUCUUUCUCUGUUUUUCCUUUUCUUCUUCCUUCCUCCCUUCUACGUUAGGAGUUUCUUUCUUUUAUAUAACCUUCCCUCUCUUCAUCUCCAUCAUCCACUUGUACUUCAUCCGUGAGUCUACUUGAGUAUGUGUCACGUCAAGUAUUUUCUUUAGCUCUGUGUGAGUGGUGGUAGGUGAGGAUACACUGUUCAGGGGUCUUCUCCACAUAAAUGAGGCCAGAAAAGUUGCUGCAGAACAUUAAAUACGGUGGUAGCAGCUUUUCCCUUAGAUAUUUCUUCAUCCUUAUCGUCUCCCAGUGUACUCAGAGCUUAUCUUGAUCAGGAGGAGUUCUCGGAAGAUCAUUUUGACCUCUUAUACGUUUAAUUGAUCUAUACUACUCUCGUCAGAGGAAUAUAACCUCUUCGGACAGAAGAUGACAUUUUCGGAUUGUAAUCAUUCUUCCCUCUGAGGGUCCCACUUCCAGAUGGGCCUUACCCUUACCAUCUCCUUUUUCUCAGUCGCACAAUAGCUCUCAUAUGGGCUCUCGGCCCAUUAUGCUGGAUUGGACCCUUUUCCCCCCACAGUAUGUAUGUAUAAUUUUUAUUUAAAUAAAUUAUACAAAUUAUUCAUUAUUUUAAAAGAGAUUAUCAUGAUAUAUAAUCAAACCUCAUAUUCAAAUUUACGCUAAAUAUGUAUAAUUUAUUAUGUAAAUUUUAUUGUAAAGAGAGAGACUACUUGUGAUGGGAAGCUAAAAAAAUACAACACCAAAACGUAUUGAAAAUUCACUUGGUGUAUAAAACAUUAAUGAAUGUUUAGACCCCCAAUUUUAAAUAUAACCAACACAAACUUAUACUUAAACAAUAAAUAUGUAGAAUAAUAAGUACAAGCAAAAACCCAAACAGGUAAACAACUCUACACCAUAAUUAGUCACAACACAAUAGCAAUUAAAAGGCAAGAGUAAGGGUUAGAGAGAUGCAAACAUAAAGAUAACACUGACACGUAUUAUCGAAGAGGAAACUAAAGAACUCGGCGAAAAACUUUCUGCUGCCCUCCAAGCAGUAAAAUGAUCCACUAAAGAGUAAAGUUGGGAUACAUGAAUAGUAGUAAACCCUUCAAGUCUAAUCUACCCAAUGCACCUAAUCCCUUCAAUCUUCUUGCUCUAGCAGGGUUAAGCCUAACCGUAUCUUCUUUAGCUUCUCUGAUCUCGUAAUAAGCCCAUUGCAUCAACCAAAUGAAUUUUUCAUCUUUGAACUGCUUCUAAAGCACUAAAAUACCUCCUCAUUGAUAUUGGUAUGGUUAGAUAAACAUUUGGCAAAUGAGCCUCUCAAGGAUAUGUUAAUGAAGAGGGUGAGUUUAGAGGAAUUUGGAGAAUCAAAUGUCUAAGAUUGUGAAUGAGUCAAUCUUGGUUUUUUCUAGGGUUUCUCUCUCAAAAUUCUUUUUGGAAGCGCUUUACAUUUCGUGGGUAUAAGGAUAUUUAUAGUAGGGUACGUGAGGAAUGUGAAAAAUCAUUUUUCCAUAAAACAGGGCAUUCUAGCGACUUAGUCUCGUUAGUGGGAUGAGUCGCAAGUUUGAGUCGCGAGUUAAUUGUCUGGCUAGACUGUUAAUAUUUGUCCUGUAGUGCUCUAGCUUUCUUCCUGCAUGCUUCACACGUGUGUCAUUUUGGCGAGUUGCUAGUUGUGAGUCACUCGCGAGAUCCAGUUACUAGAAACCUCUUGAAUGCUCACACACUUGAAUUCUUCAAACUCUUCUCACACACAACCCUUAUAUUAUUCUCACCUAAAUAUAGGGUAUUUAAUUGCUGAAAUACAAGCAAAUUUGGCACGUAAUAAAGCCAACACAUGAUUGAAUAAAUUCAACCUUACACGUAUGAACCAAAAUAGAGUUUUAAAUCACAAUGAUUCAUCAAUAUAAAGUAGAGUUGCAAGAAAAAAUAAAAAAUUAAGAGAAAAAGAAUGACCACAUUUUCAAGAGAGAAUGUGAGAGAGAAUAAUAAGAAAUUUAUAUAAAAUAAUAUGAGAAGAAAAAAAAUAUAUAGUAAUAAACACCAAAUUAUCCAAGUCAUGUUAUGUUAUGUUAUAAUAAAAUAAGAUUAUAUUCUUAUAUACUAUUUUUAUAAUGUAAUAUGAUAGCAUCUAUGAAGUCAAAGAGAAUAAAAAAGAUAACAACUUAAAAACACAAAACUUAAUCACAUCAACCCAAAGUAGAGUUCUAAAUAAUACAAAAAGUUAUCAACCUAAAGUAGAGAUGCGUGAAAAAUAUUUUUAAAAAAAAAUCCACCAAAAAUGAAAAAAAGAAAUGCGAGAGAGAAAGAAAAAGAAACAACAUUUUGUGUGUGGAAAAUGAGAGAGAGAAAAAGAGAGAAAUAACAUUUUGUGUGUGAAAAAACUAUGAAUAGAAUGAAAAAGAAAAUUGUAAAUUUAUAGUAAGAGAAGGGGAAUAAGAAAAGCAAAAGUAAAAAAAGAAUAAAAAAAUUAAUAAUAAAGGAAGAUGAAGGGAUUGAGGAAAAGUGAUAUUAAGGUAGAUAGUCGUGGGUAGAUGAAAAGGUGAAAAUGAGGGGAAAAGUUUGAAAAAUUAUAACUAUAAGUUGGGAAAUUAAUAAGGAAAAAAAAGAGAAUUAAAAAAAAAAAAAAAAAGAUAGAAUGUUAAAAAUUGGUGGAUAAUGUGACCGUUGUUGUGGUUCAAUAUGAACAUAGCAACACUAAAUGUUACGCUUCAUAUAGUUUAUAGGAAAUGAAAAGUUAUAGAGUUGCUCAUUUUCAUUUUCUUUGACAUAUGCAUAUUUGUGAGAUAAUUUUUUAGGAAAACUUGUCAUCUUUUAAAAUCUAAUGAAUAUAAAAAAUUUAUUUAGUUUGAUGUUGUAUGAAUAUGUACAAAAAAAAAAUUUGAGAAAACAAAAACUAACUUGUUUCCAUAACUACUAGACUAGUUGACAAAUUCUAUUUUUUAAGAGAUCAUUGAACUAACUCACAUAAAAUAAAAUAAUUUUUUAAAAUUUGGGGUGCUAUUAAGUGGAUUAGUCACAUUAUCAUUGAAAAAGAUGAUGUUAGAAAAAUUGAAAUACAAAUGCCCCUUAAUUAGUAAUUUUGCAUAUAAAAAAGGCAACAAGAAUAUAUUUUAAAUUAAAAAAUUAUAAUAUGAAAAGUCAAAUAAAUACUAUACAAAUAAUAUUUAAUGAUAAAAAAUAUGACUUAUAGUAAGGGUUGUAAACGAGCCAAGCUUUGUCAAGUAGUAUGUGUCUGAGCUUGGCUCAUUAAUAAAAAUCAAAUGUUCAAACUUGGCUUGAGCUUGAGACAAGCCUAAAAACAAUGUUUGAACUCGAGCUUGUGAGAGUGCCAAAAAGCUUGAGCUCGGCUUGGCUUGAUUAAUUAGUCAAGCCAAACUUGAGCUUAAUAUCAAGCUCAAACUCGAGCUCAAGUCAAGCUUUUUAGCUUGGGAUCCAAAAACAUUGCAUCAUCAAAUGCUUAUAUCAUAAAAAUCAAGUAAACAAAAAAUAUAUAUAUUUAAUAAUAUACUCAUUUUGUCAUGCUUCUAACACUCGUGAUUAGAAAUUGUUUAAAUUACAACAUUACAUAAUCAAAUCCAUCCAUCAUCAUUCAUUGUCUGUAGCUUAAGUAAUUGUUCAAAAUACAAUUUUUACAUCCACAUUUGUUAUUUGUGCAACUAUAAUCCUAACAAAUCUAAAUAAAAUAAUAUUCCAAAACAUAUAUGAAUAAACAAGCUAUAAAUUAAUAUUCCAAAACAUAUGUGUAAUGUCAUGAUAAUGAGUUUAUUUAGUAAUCAUAUAUCAAGCUAUAAACGAGCCUAAACUCGGCAUGUUUUGUAUCGAGCUCUAUUGUUCACGAGCUUGUUCAUGAACAAAUUUUUUUACUUGAACUUGGCUUGUUUAUCAAACAAACCUAAAACUAAUGCUCAAGCUUGGCUUAUUUGUAAAUAAACAAACAUGAACGAGCUUUUUAUCGAGCUGAGCUCGAGUUGUUCAUGAACGGUUUGAUUCGUUUACAGCCCUACUUAUAGUUGUCAUUAGGCUUCAAAUUUUAGUAAAACAACCCUGAUUUGGCCUCAUCACUACUGUAUAUAGCUAUUCUGUGUUUAUUUCCCAGGUAUCAAUUCUCUACUUAAAAUAUACCCAAUUGAUAUGUAUGUUUUUUUUUUUUUUCGUUUUGUUUUGUGAAGAAGAUGUUCUUCAUUUUCUUUUUCUUUUUUUUCUUUUAUUUUUUUUGAUAAGAAAGACUCUCAUUUCAUUAAAAAGCAGAAAAUAACAUAGCAUCCUGAGAAAAGGUGGACAUUCUUCCAUCCAUGUUACAAAAGAAUCAAUAUUCUUAGCAAAAGCUGCCAAAGUAUGAGCUAGCUUAUUUCCUUGUCGUCCCACGUGUGAGGCUUGGAAUGUUUUAAACUCAUGUAAUCUGGAGCAAAGUCUUAAGACUACAGUAGAGAUAGAGACUAGGGCAUUUGUGGGGCUCUGCAUAGCAUGACAAACAGUAAUGGAAUCUGUUUCAAAAAUCACAUCUCUGACUCCAAUGUCCCAUGCAAAAACCGUAGCUUCAUCUAGUGCUUUAGCCUCUACUUCUAAGGGAGCCAAAGGAAGUGAGAGGCGCUUGCUUAGGGCAGCAAUGACCGAUUCAAAAAAAAAAAAAAAUACAUGUAACACGUUCCCUCUUUAUCUUUUUUAAGGCAAGGUUCUAGUUCCUUUCUUUUCUUUUUAAUAUUUAGGAACAGAAAAAGGUUUUAAUUCUUGUACUUCAAAAGGCGAUGGAGAGAGACUACUCAUACUGGCAAAUAAUAUGGAAUAUUAGCUUAAUUAAAAGUCUUACGGACCCGGGUUUACUGCACAAUCUCCUCUAUCAUUAUAAAUAGUUGCUCAAAUCACCAAAAUGAUGGUAUAAAUAAAUUGCUAGGUUUCUUCCUUUCUCAUUUUAUUUUUUGAUAGAGUUUUAAAUUAUGAAGUUCGUUUUUUAUAAUUGUGCUUUUUGUCAUCAGUUAAGAUACCAAUUGGUUUUGGUGUAAACAGAGAUUGAAUUUCAAAUCUCUUAUUCAACCUUUAGAGAUUUUACCAGUUGAAUUAACUGAAAUUCACCUUUUUUUUCUUUUUUUUUUUCAUUUAAGUUAACAUGUUCCCUCUUUGUGUUUUUUUUUUUUUUUAAAGCAAGAUUCUAGUUUAUUUACUUUAUUUUGGAACAGAAAAUGGUUUAAAUCCAUGUACUUCAAAAGGCGACGGAGAGAGACUACUCAUCAGGCAAAUAAUAUGGAAUAUUAGCUUAAUUAAACUACAAGUCUUAUGGACCCGGCUUUACUGUACAAUCUCCUUUUUCUUAUCAUUAUAAAUUGCUUGCUCAAAUCACCAAUAUGAUGCUGUAAAUAAAGUAAUAAACUGGUAGGUUUCUAGUGCGACUAGGACAAUAUUGCCACGGGAAGCUCAACUCCAACUUAUAGUCUUGGAAGAUGACUUGGCAGCAAGAGACAUUUUUUCCUGUAAGUGGAACCAUCUUUUUUCUUUUUUCAUUUUUUUUUUCUUUGGCUUAAACCAUCUUUUAGUAAUUAAGUGGCUAGAGAUACUUGUCCAAAAAAAAAAAGUGACUCGAGAGAUAUUGAUCCGAAAUAAGAUGUGUUCUCUUGAAUUAUUACAUUGAUCCUUUCUAGUUAACUCAAAUUUGUAAAAUUUCUUAUAAUUGAAUAAGAGGCUUGUAUUUGACAUAAUGAUAAAGACAAUUAUCAUGUAACAAAUUUCAUAUGAGCAAAUCUUAUCUUAUUUAUUAAAUUAAUUAAGAACCUCACUCCUAUAGCUAUAUAUGGUAUUUGCCAUAAAAUUUUAAGCUUCAAAACUUUCUUUAAUAAAAUAUUUUUUUACAUCAACAAAUUAACAAAUAAAUUAAAGGAACUUUUCUAGGUUUUUUGCCCCGCCCCACCUUGACUCACUUCGCCCCUUGUAGGUUUUUCCCACCCCACAAAGGUCGUCGGAUAGGAAUGGGGCCAGAUUUUAGCCCCUGCUAUGGGGCAGGGUGGGCAUAGAUUUAGACAUUUUAGCUCCACUCCACUCCAUCCCCAUCCAACCUCGCGUUGAUAAGAGCUAUAAUUAUAAAUUUUUCAUAUCCUAAAUUUCUACUAUUUAAACAAACAAAUUAAUACUAGCUUAUUUAAAUGCAUGAAUAUUCAGUUUUGUUUUUGUUGUUGUUGUUAUUGUUAUAUUGUCUUGUUAAAUACUUUGAUAAUAUUAUUUAAUUAUUGCUAAGAAUUAGUUUGAUUUGAUAAGAUAAAAUUAGUUAUAAUUUCAAGUAUAUUUAUAUUAACGAAACAGAUUUUAUUAAAAAAAUUAUAACAGUUGUGAGGCAAGUUAAAAUGAAAUAGAAUUUUAAGGGAAGGGGCAGGGCCCAAGGGACGGGGAUGAGGCAAGGAAGCUUUCCCCAUCAUACGGGGUAGGAUGGGAGUGAAGAUCUAAUCCUUUGGCCCGGCCCCUCCCCAUCAUUACCAUCCCUACCUUAGACUUCUAAACAAAGUAGGAAAUAAAAUGUAGAAAUAAAUUAGGGAAGAAUAUUCAAAUUCUAAUAGAAAUCAUUAUGUCUACUAAAAGACUAACAUGGAAACUAAAUUAAAUAAAAUCAAUUAAGGAUGUAAUUUGUUUCUUUCCCAAUUAUAUUCUUAGAGAUUGACAUCAUCUUCUUGAUUGCCGGUGAACCCUACUCUAUCAGGAUUAGUGCCAUUGAAUUCUGGGAGGAUCGCUGUUGAAUGUGCUAAGAUGGCAUCAAAAAUAGAAAUACAGGACGCGGACAAGUGCAUGAUUGAUCACCCCUGGACUCCUGCGUCAUCAGAGGACAUAUUGGAAACAAAAAUAGAAAUAUCUAAGGUACUCCAAUGCAUAAAAUUAUUUUAUUCACUUCAUGUAUUACACAUUUAUACCUCUUGUAGUUUAAUUGACACCUCUCAUGCACAAAGUGCUUAAAAAUCUAAGAGAGAAAUGUUCAAACUGCAGAGUUAACAAUAUAUUGUGACUAUCUAAAAAAAAGACCCUAAUCUGAUAUGAGAGAAAGACAUGGUAUUGGAAACUUUUAGAUUUAUCAUAUCUAAUUUUAUGCAUGAAGUUGAUCUAUUUUAAAUAGAGAUGAAAGGCAACUUAGCUGCCAGAGAGAGUUGUUUUAGUAAGUAAAAGGACAAAAAAAUAUACCAUCUUCAUCCCAUUUUAUUGGUCCUUGUUAGAAAAUUUAAUUCGUUAAGGGAACAUCAUUCAAUAAUGUGAUGCCUUUUAGUAAAAAUAAAAAAUUGUACGUAUAAAUUUUCAAAACAACCAUAAUUAAUUUAAACUCUAAUGAUAAGAUCAUAUAUUGAAUUUUUAAAUAAAGUAAAGGGUAGGUUAAGAAAUUAUUUUUUUAACUUUUUAAAAAGAAUGAAACUUUUUUAAUUGAUUGCACAAACUAAAAUCUUGUUGCUCAAUUAAUUGUUUUACUAUAGUUUAAAUUGAUAAGGGUAGUUUUGAAACUUAAACUUAGAAGAAAAUGUUUUGAAUGAUUCCCCCCCCCCCCCCUCCCAAAAAAAAAGUUAAAUUUUCUAAACAAAAUCAAUGGAAGAAAAAUUUUAUUUUUAUAUAUUGGCGUGUUUCGGGAUGUUUGUGGAUCAGACUCAUUUCAAGUGUAAAAUGAUAAAUAAAUAAAAAAAAUCCAUUAAUUGCUGCAACAAUUGCUACACAAACUAAUCCUAAUUAUUCUGUCCAUUUUUUUCAUCUUCAUUGUUCCAUAUAGAUGGAGAUUGAGUGGAUUUCAGAUUGGCUUCAAGAUCAAGAUCAUAUUAAAAAAUGCGAGGAGACUUCAAUCUUCAACCUCGACAAGGCCCAAAGAAGAUUGUUUAAAAGUGCCGUCAAUGGUGAUUGGGAGGAUGUCCUUGUUCAAUGUGAAGGACAAAAUUGGGCCUUCGAUGUCAAGGUCACAAAGUUAGAUGACACAAUAUUCCACCUAGCAGCCUACAAUAAACGUGAAGAUAUUUUUGAAAGACUUCUAAAAUUAUUACCACGGGGAACCGAUCAUGAACACAUCGCAAUGAGUGCUUUAGAAAAGGCAAACAUGAAAGGAAAUACCCCUCUCCACAUUGCAGCAUCAGUGGGGAGUGAGAAGAUGUGUCGCAGCAUAGUUGAAAGAUCACGGUCAAGAGCUUUACUAAGUGUUCUUAACAAUGAAGGUGAGACCCCUUUCUUCUCAGCAGCUCUUCAUGGUCACAAAGACGCUUUUCUAUACUUGGCUUCUAUCUGCAACCGGGUAGAAGGCUACUUUUACAGUCAAAGGAACGAUGGUGACACUAUACUCCACCGUGCCAUCUCUGCAGAACACUAUGGUGAGCAAUAUUUUUCAUGCUUAAGAGGAACACUACACUCGUGCACAUAGGAUAAUUUAUGUAGAAGAGCUUUUAUUAAUUUCCCCCUAACUUUAUUUUAUUUAAUAUUAUUUAAUAUUUUAUCACUAUGUUUGUUUUGAAGUAAAAUAUAACAAAUUUUACACGUAAAAUGUUUUCAAUAUAAUAUUUUUGAGUAUUUAGUACAACAAGUAAAAUUUUUCAUGCAAACUACCAAAACCGAUGGCUUAAUCACUAAAGCCGCUAGUGCUAGAGACUUAGUGACCAAACCGUCAGAACAGUGUCUCUAGUGACAUAACUACUAGAACCGGUCGUUGGAAUGACACCGAUUGUCGAAGUGGCAUCUCCAAUCACCAGAAUGACGGCACUGAUCAUCGGAGUGGCAACUCCAACUAUGGGAUAGUUGCCAUUGGUUGCUGUAACAGCAACUUCGGCCAUCGAACCGUCAACAUCGGCUCCCCAGCUCAUUGAAUCAAUGACCUAACCACCAUAUAGGGGAAGAGGAAGCCACUAUAUGUUUUUGUAAGAUGUUUUAUCAAAAUUUGAAGGCUAAAACAUUUUAUAACUUUUUAGAAAAGGUUUUACUAUAAACAAAAAAUAUUUUACAUAAUGUUUGACCAAAUUUUACAUGCAAAAAAAACACAUAAAAAUAGAAAAAAAUAUAUUUUACUUUAAAACAAACGAAAUGUAAGUUACAUUUUGAGUUUUUGAAGUGGAUUAUAAACGGUGAAAUUAUGACUUAAGUUAGUAAAUAAAUGUGAUAGAACAGUUGAUAAGAAUUUACAACUUGUGCUGUUGUGCAAGAGGUGGUUGUUAAUUAGAAUCUAAGAUACGCCUGAAAUACUAUUAAUUAGUUAUUAUAUUAAGUCACAUUUGGUUAUUAUGCUUGGCAGAAUUGUCCAUUAUGAUACUUGACAAGUAUGAACAUCUUGUAAACGUUGUCAACAAGGAUGGCAAUACCCCUCUCCAUCUCCUGGCACGUAAACCGUCUGCCUUCAAAAGUGGCAGCGAUCUUCGCUGGUAUGAAAAGAUCAUCUAUCACUGUAAGUAUACUAUACAAUUUUCAAGAUAUGUUUUUUUUUUUUGGUGAACAAUUUCAAGAUAUGUUGACAGUGUAUUUAAAAUCACUCAUUUUUUAUUUCUUUUCAUUUGCUCCUACCUACUCUUAUUUUUCUAAUAUCGGAUUACAAAGUUGCUGUUGUUGGGUUAUACGUGUGAGUGAAGUCCCACAUUGAAUAAAGAUAAGAAGAAUAAGUGGUUAAUAUAACAUAAUUGAGCACAUACCCAUAGGGCUUAGGCCUUUUGGGUAGGGACCAUGAACACCUCACCACCUUCGCCGCACACCACCAUGGGCUUUGAUACCACUUGUUGGGGAGAUAAACAUCUUGGGGAGCUUUCUUGAGUAAUUAAUAUAACAUAUAGAGACACACUUUAACCCAAAAGGCCUAAGCCCCAAUGGGUAUGUGCUCAAUUAUGUUAUAUUAACCACUCAUUCUUUUCAUCUUUAUUCAAUGUGGGACUUCACUCACACGUGUAACCCAACAAUCUCCCCCUCACGUGUGAGUCUCUACCACUCUAUGGGCUUUAAGACUUCUCUGUGGGCCAUAAAUAAGUCCUACUCGCUCCCCCUUGCCUAAUGGGCUUUUCACUUCAUCGACGCGUCAUCCAUGGGUUUCUCGUACGCCAUCCAUAGGAACCACGUGUCAACCCCACACGCACAUCCAUGGGAAACCCCGCACGACCAUGUCCAUGGGAACCUCGCACCACACCGUUAUUUAGCACCAUUAGCAAUAUUCAUUUGUUGGGCUUUUUUUUCUUUUUUCUUCUCCAGGAUUUUUGUGUGUGGGUCGUCUAGGCUUUCUCUGUCCCCGCUGGGUAGGGACCAUGAACACCUCACCACUUUCGCCACACAUCAUCAUGGGCUCUGAUACCACUUGUCGAAGAGAUAAACACCUUGGGGAGCUUCCUUGAGUGAUUAAUAUAACAUAUAGAAACACACUUUAACCCAAAAGGCCUAAGCCCUAAUGGGUAUGUACUCAAUUAUGUUAUAUUAACCAUUCAUUCUUUUCAUCUUUAUUCAAUGUGGGAUUUCACUCACACUUGUAACCUAACAAUCUCCCCCUUACGUGUGAGUCUCUACCACUCUAUGGGCUUCAAGACUUCUCUGUGGGAUAUGAAUAAGUCCUACUCGCUCCCCCUUGCCUAAUGGGCUUUUCACUUCAUCGACGCGUCAUCCAUGGGUCUCUCGUACGCCAUCCAUGGGAACCACGUGUCAACCCCACACACACAUCCAUGGGAAACCCCGCACGACCAUGUCCAUGGGAACCUCGCAUCACACCAUUAUUUAGCACCAUUAGCAAUAUUCAUUUGUUGGGCUUUUUUUCUUUUUUCUUCUCCAGGAUUUUUGUAUGUGGGCCGUCUAGGCUUUCUCUGUCCCCGCUGGGUAGGGACUAUGAACACCUCACCACCUUCGCCGCACACUACCAUGGGCUCUGAUACCACUUGUUGGGGAGAUAAAUACCUUGGGGAGCUUCCUUGAGUAAUUAAUAUAACAUAUAGAGACACACUUUAACCCAAAAGGCCUAAGCCGUAAUGAGUAUGUGCUUAAUUAUGUUAUAUUAACCACUCAUUCUUUUCAUCUUUAUUCAAUGUGGAGCUUCACUCACACGUGUAACCCAACAGUUGUCAAGAAUUUUGUAAUACAAGUGGCACUUCUUGAUAGAUUUUGAAUAAAAGCAUCAAAGUCUCGAAUCCUCUCAUUCUAUUGUAACUAUGGAAUUUAUGUUUAAAAAUAAAACCAACAAUUACAUAGCAGUUUGAAGAAAAAUAUUAUUAAUGUCACGGAACUAAAUUAUCAACCCUUCCGUAACUCAAGUUCCUUUGAAUCUUAAUUGACAUUUACUUCCAAUUAACUGUUGCUAUAUGUUAACUUACGGGUUAAUUAUCAUGCAUUGCAUGUUGUAAGUUGGUUGAUUUAGACAUGUGAACUGAAUAGUUUAUACUUCAUCCUAAAUAUGUCUUGCGUUUACGAAUAUAAAUCAUCUAUCUUCAGCUUAAAGGUGAUUAGGCUGUAAUUUGAAAUUUAGGGUCUAAAUCGUUACUAAAAUUAAAAAUUGGUAAUCUCAAAAACCUAAAAAUUCCUAUAUAUGUAUGUAUGUCUGCGUGUGUGUGGAGGGGCUUAAGGAAGAUAAGCUAUUAUUUUAUUUAAUUUUACACUAAAAUACUCGUUACAGUUUACGUGACUAGUCUUUUAGUGCUCAGAUAACUUUCAAGUGCAGAUUACUUAUGUAUUUAUAUCAGUAGUGGCUCACUAAUAAGAAGAAUUAAAAUAGUUUAGAAAUCUCAGAGUUCAAUGGAAAAUUUUAGUUGUAAUGGAAAUUUCAUUAUUUACCAAAAAAGGAUAUCUGUGUUUAUUUUCAUUUACAAUGUGCUUCGCCGCUUUUUAACUGAACUAUUUUCAUUUCAGCAUUUUUAACAAUAGACGACGUAGAGAAGGUAAUUAAGGACGCAGAUAGAGUGGACCUUGAAAGAGAACAGGCUAACCAUGGAGGUAGGCGCCAAAGUGAUAAAUGUUCAAACUCACACACACAUCUGAAUGUGUUUCUAAAAAAAAAAAGCACAUUGACAUUAGUUUGUUCAAGUACAUAGAGAAGGGACAAAAAAAGGUUCUCAUGACUUGAGCUUCUAUUAAUUGUUAUUGGUUAGGACAAUGAUAUUAAUAAACAUAUUUAUAUUGAUUGAUUGUCUUUGUGUAUAGGACGCCCAUCGCUCAACGAAGCUCAAUCAAAGCUUCCACAUAUUUACAAAGCCUGCUUUGAGUUUGUAAAACUUGUAUCCAAGGCAGUGUUAUCUAUAUUUGGUAUUCCCCCUUAUACCCUGCUUUAUUUCUGUUUUGUUGUCUUUGUAUAUGUCAAUUUAAUGACACUUCCAUUUGAGAUAUGCCUUAUAACUGAGUUCCUUUUCAUUUUCAGUAUUUUCUUCGAUAUGCUACAAGAAAAGAAAACCCCCAAGGAGGGAAGCUGAUACAGAGAACCCUCAGGAAGGUAGAUACUUUAUAUCAAAGCAAGAAAUGUUCACACCACAAUAUGUUACAAGAAAAGAAAAUGUUCACACUAAUUGUAUGAGUGUUAAAGAAGCUUUAUUUUAUUUUAUUAUUAUGACAAUUAUAGAAGUUUGAGAAAAAGGUAGCACAUAAAUUUAUUUGAGUGGUCUAACUUGAGCGUCUGUUGCUAUUGGAUUUAAUUAAGAGAACGAUACUAUUAAAUGAAUUGGUACAUUAGUUUGUAAGACUUGCGUAGCGAAAUUUGUAAUACCCCAACGUUACACUUAUUCUUUGUAUUGCAGGAGACUUAUCACCCCAAGGAGAUCGAGGGCCUCGGUUAGCAGUUCCACCUAAUUACAAAACCUGCUGUUCGCUUGUAGGACUUGUCUCCAGGGCAGUGCUAACUAUAUUUGGUAUCCAUACACUGUCCAUUAAUUUCUGUUCUAUUAUUGUAGCACUUAAAAGACACGAGUCCAAUUGGUUUUAUGUGUUUAGGAUCGGAUAGGGCAUGGAAGGUAUGGGAGAAGAAGGUGAGGCAUACGUGGUCCAUUCUAAUCAUGAACAAACUACUGCAUCACACUUCAAUGUAUCAGCUUCCAGCUUCACAAGGUAAAUCUUCAAUUCCUUCCAACUUACCCGGUGAUAACUGUCCAUGCAAAAUUUAAUUCUAGUCUGUUCUACCUUAACUUUUUUCAAGGAACUAGAAGAAUGAAGGAAAAUUACAGGAUUCCCUUUUAAGAGUUUGGGAUAAGUAAAAACUUAAUCAAGAAUUUUUAAUUGUGACAAAGAAAUCCUGAACUUAAAAAAAAAAAAAAAAAAAAAUUUUCGAUGCGUUCUUAAAAGCAUUUUGACACAACUCCUAUUAAGAUGGAUGUUCUUUUACUUGUGAUCAUCCAUAUUUUACUCGUUAACUUUCGAAUAAGUUUCAUGCAAAUUAUUUUCCUUAUUAACUGAGCAACAAUUUGAAGUUUUGUAGUAAUAGAGUUUUAUUUAAAUUAAACUAUGUGGUGUUGAAUCUAUUAUGUAUUGAGGAAUGAUGAAAUCAAAUCAGAUGAUUGAUUACCAACAUGAAACUUGAAACCAUUUUAUUUGUGCGUUUGCCACUAGAUUAAAAAGCUAAUUUUUUUUACUAUUUAGCUUAUUUUAAUUUGCUACUCUUCAUAGAUCUCAUUACACUUUUUAAUAUUAUUUAUAGAUCUCAUUGUACUAUUUUAGCUUCAUUUUAGUUUUAUCUACAGUACUUUUAGCAAAAAAAAAAAAUCAAUUUUAACUAAAUAAACUGUUCCCAAACAGACCUUAAUUGAAAUAAUUUGAAGUUCAAGAUUUAAUUUAUUAUGAAGCUUUGGAGAAAUUAUGUACUUUUCUUCAAAGGGGGGAAAAAAGAAUAAAUAUGUUGCAGCUGCACAAUAUUUAUUAGGCUCCCAAAAAAGGAAGAGUUUUGGUAUUAACUGGAGUAAAAUUUAUUGUCUUGUGCAAUGACAGAACCGGAAAAGAAAAAGGAGUUCCUUUUUCAGUCAAAUGCAAAAAGUGAUGCAACACCCAUACUGAUUGCAGCAAAGAAUGGAAUUUCCGAAAUGGUUAAGAAGACCCUUAAACGUGAUCCCAUGGCCAUGUAUGACGUGGAUGAGAAAAAGAAGAACAUUGUGCUAUUGUCAGUGGAGCAUAAGCAACCUCAUGUGUAUGAGCUUCUUAUGCGUUCUUAA